UACAGAGGGGGCAAGCGUUAUUCGGAAUUAUUGGGCGUAAAGGGCGCGUAGGCGGCCUGACAAGUGGAAGGUGAAAUCCCUCGGCUUAACCGAGGAACUGCCCUCCAAACUGUUUGGCUUGAGACCGGGAGAGGUGAGUGGAAUUCCCAGUGUAGCGGUGAAAUGCGUAGAUAUUGGGAGGAACACCAGUGGCGAAGGCGGCUCACUGGACCGGUACUGACGCUGAGGCGCGAAAGCGUGGGGGGCAAACGGG
rnacentral:rRNA from 1 species